CCUUGGAGUGUGCUCCUCCCUGCUGGUGCGCCUUGGAGUCUGCACCUCCCUGCUGGUGCACCUUGGUGAGUGCACCUCACUGCUGGUCCUCCUCGGAGUGUCCAUCUUAUUGAAGGUGCGCCUUGGAGAGUGCAUCUUCCUGCUGGUGCAUGGAG